rnacentral:sRNA from 2 species
AUAUAGUCCAAGCCGAAUUUCCAUGGAAAACGGGGAACCCAAUUUAUCAGGGGUGAAUCCGCGUAUGCGGUAGGGAUUAUACCUUUGACCGAACCCGACAGCUAACCUCGUAGGCUUUAGAAAGGGGUGUU